UACGUAGGGCGCAAGCGUUGUCCGGAAUUACUGGGCGUAAAGCGCGCGUAGGCGGCUUUGUAAGUUAGAGGUGAAAGCCCGGGGCUCAACCCCGGAAUUGCCUUUAAAACUGCAUCGCUUGAAUCCGGGAGAGGUGAGUGGAAUUCCGAGUGUAGAGGUGAAAUUCGUAGAUAUUCGGAAGAACACCAGUGGCGAAGGCGGCUCACUGGACCGGUAUUGACGCUGAGGUGCGAAAGCGUGGGGAGCAAACAGG
rnacentral:rRNA from 1 species